rnacentral:lncRNA from 10 species
GGCCUGCGAGUGCAGCGCGCAGCCCCUGUUCCCGCCCGCGCGUCUCCCUCCACAUCUCCGGGCAAGCAAAGGGAGCCGGCUCCAGCCUCGGCCAGCCCAGAGAGUGCCUCCCACAGUGCAGCGGCGGGCUGAAGGGCUGGCUUCUCAAGCGUGGCCAGAGUGGACGCCGAGGCUGAGGAGGCGCCCAGAGUGAGCAAGGGCUGAUAGCACGUUGUCACCUCAAUACCACAGAAAUUGAAAACAGAGAUAAAAGGAGACUACUGUAUAUCAGUUCAAGAUACACAGCAAGAGACAAUAGAAGCAGAGGAUUCAGGGCGAGCUGUUUCUCCAAGGCUAGGGAAGCUACUUGAGGCAUUUGGAGACUUGAUUGAAUGUGCCUUACUUGGAUCACAGAUGAGGGACCUGAAAGUGCAGCCUACCUUGGGCUGUAUACCUCAGGCGAAACAUGAAACACUGGACCAAACACUGAAGGACAUUCUGUUGCUAGAGGGCCCUGAAGCAGAGCUAGGGCUGUUCCAGCGAGUUACCCUCCUAUCUCAAGACAUUACAUUCUCAGUGCUUUCUACAUUUAUCCUUGAGAAUUACAAGUGAGAAAGAGGAGAGAAUGAGUCUGUUCAAGGCCUCCUGGAGAAGUUUCCUGAACCAUCU